rnacentral:rRNA from 1 species
UACGUAGGGUGCGAGCGUUAAUCGGAAUUACUGGGCGUAAAGCGUGCGCAGGCGGUUGGCCGUGUCCGAUGUGAAAGCCCCGGGCUUAACCUGGGAAUGGCAUUGGAAACUGGCUGGCUGGAGUGUGGCAGAGGGGGGUGGAAUUCCACGUGUAGCAGUGAAAUGCGUAGAGAUGUGGAGGAACACCGAUGGCGAAGGCAGCCCCCUGGGCCAAUACUGACGCUCAUGCACGAAAGCGUGGGGAGCAAACAGG